CUUCUAUGCGUAAUCAGGUGCACGUCCUUACUCAACAAUGACAGGAGCUCUCCAAACAAAAGACAAAUGACUAAACUGACAAAACUCAAAUGGAAUGAAAUAAACCAAAACUUGUUUCUCACAAGUGUAGCAUGGGUUGUGUGCUCUGCAAACAACGUGUCCAUUCCGACAAUGAGAACCGUGGAAUAAUAAUAUAUUGAAUGCAUUGACAGACAUUACUGUAACCAAACAAACAUUGUAGAUGAUAAAUUAUAGGCAUUAACGGUAAAAGUCCUACUGGAGAUAUAAAGUAUGUAAUGGGGAAUUGAUAGACACUAACAAUCAAACGCAAACAAUUCACACAAUCAAGUUAUGAAACAAUGAAUGUGAACAAGUUGGCGGGAGAGAGCAUAUUCUGGAGAGACGUGCAUUGUCCAGCCACACUCCCCUUCUUUUUGGACUCGGCCAUCCCCGCGGCCUCUGCAAUUAAUUAGUUCACCGAGAUGGGUGCAAGUCAGGUGUCGUGUGCCAUAAAAUAUAUAUAUAUUUGCUACUGCUCGACUAAAAACAAUCUCGGUCGAUCAACAGCCUAUCAACCAAACAAUCGACCAGUUGAAAAAUUGGGGUCAGCCCUACUUUCAUCUUCCCCUUGUCUGAAGGUUGUGGCCUGCGAGUUGGACGGUAGACUGGCUGCUGAGCUCCAGAAGUGAGUACCAAAACAAAGGGUAUUCAAAUCAUAGUUGGUCAUAUCCUGGCGGCAUCAAACGGUAAUGUGACAAGCUAUAACAUUAACGUCGAAGAUGAUGGUUCUUUCCAGGUCCACUGCAGUUGAGCAGCUGUUGGAGAGGAACUACAGGAUUCACUGGUCAGUACACAAUGUGGAAAUCCUAGCAGACUUCAGCAGAACCAAGAAGAUUGAGUGUUCUGCACGAGAUAUUGUUUAGUGAGAAGCGAGCCAGGAGCAUAGACAGACGACUUCAUGGUACUUCACACAUUCAACUCCUAAGCAGACGGUACUGCUGAGGACUUGGUGCAGGAAAGCAAUAUUGUGGAAACCUAUCCAGUUUUUAAACCUCCAGUGCUCUUUAAGGAAUGGCAAGUGGAAGGUGUUAUGGAUUGUUGAGACACAUCCAAGUCAUGUGACUGAUGGAUGAUGACUACACUCACUGGCUAGAUCGAUGCAGCUAGACACCACACUGGCUUACCCCCCUGGACUACCUUCGUUAUGCCUUUUCUAUGAAAAUGAGCUCGUGAUCAGUGAAAUGUACAUAUUUAUUAAGUGGUUAAGUGUAUAGCUAUCCAAACUCCUUGUUCCGGCCAAACGCUACGCCACACCCUCGGUCGUUAAGUUUCUUCUCCCAUAACGAGUCUGGGUACCUCCACGACAAUUUCGCAAACACAUUCUAACCGUUCUGAUUGGAUCCAGAAAGCGGUGGGUUGGGACAGAGCCAGAACACACAUGGGUAAAGCAGCGUUUAGAAAAUUAGUCAUUAGCUUUGAUUGGUUAGAGAUGAUGCAAUCGCUGACUACUUUUUGUAUAACACCCCUCAUUUUGACGUCACCACAAACGACGGCAGUCUGACUGAAGUAUGUAGCAAACAUAGAGCAGCGUAAUAAUUAUGUUGGGAGUCGUCAGGCAAGUGUACAGUUAAUGCUCAUACAUAAAAUAGAUGCACUAAAA